rnacentral:rRNA from 1 species
AGAGUUUGAUCAUGGCUCAGGAUGAACGCUGGCGGCGUGCCUAACACAUGCAAGUCGAGCGAUUCUCUUCGGAGAAGAGCGGCGGACGGGUGAGUAACGCGUGGGUAACCUGCCCUGUACACACGGAUAACAUACCGAAAGGUAUGCUAAUACGAGAUAAUAUACUUUUAUCGCAUGGUGGAAGUAUCAAAGCUCCGGCGGUACAGGAUGGACCCGCGUCUGAUUAGCUAGUUGGUAAGGUAACGGCUUACCAAGGCGACGAUCAGUAGCCGACCUGAGAGGGUGAUCGGCCACAUUGGAACUGAGACACGGUCCAAACUCCUACGGGAGGCAGCAGUGGGGAAUAUUGCACAAUGGGCGAAAGCCUGAUGCAGCAACGCCGCGUGAGCGAUGAAGGCCUUCGGGUCGUAAAGCUCUGUCCUCAAGGAAGAUAAUGACGGUACUUGAGGAGGAAGCCCCGGCUAACUACGUG